GUCGUAAUGAAAAAUAAAACAUAAGGGGUAACACUGUUGUUUUUUAUUGGUCGGCAAAAAAAAAAACAUAAGGGGUAACACUGUCGUUUUUUAUUGGUCGUCAUGAAAAAAAACAUAAGGGGUAACACUGUUGUUUUUUAUUGGUCGUCAUAAAAAAAACAUAAGGGGUAACACUGUUGUUUUUUAUUGGUCGUCAUGAAAAAAAACAUAAGGGGUAACACUGUUGUUUUUUAUUGGUCGUCAUAAAAAAAACAUAAGGGGUAACACUGUUGUUUUUUUUGGUCGUCAUGAAAAAAAAAAUAAGGGGUAACACUGUUGUUUUUUAUUGGUCGUCAUGAAAAAAACAAGGGGUAACACUGUUGUUU
ensembl:lncRNA